rnacentral:rRNA from 1 species
AACAGGAUUAGAUACCCUGGUAGUCCAUGCCGUAAACGAUGUCUACUAGCCGUUGGGGCCUUUGAGGCUUUAGUGGCGCAGCUAACGCGAUAAGUAGACCGCCUGGGGAGUACGGUCGCAAGACUAAAACUCAAAUGAAUUGACGGGGGCCCGCACAAGCGGUGGAGCAUGUGGUUUAAUUCGAUGCAACGCGAAGAACCUUACCUGGUCUUGACAUAGUAAGAACUUUCCAGAGAUGGAUUGGUGCCUUCGGGAACUUACAUACAGGUGCUGCAUGGCUGUCGUCAGCUCGUGUCGUGAGGUGUUGGGUUAAGUCCCGCAACGAGCGCAACCCUUUUCCUUAUUUGCCAGCGGGUUAAGCCGGGAACUUUAAGGAUACUGCCAGUGACAAACUGGAGGAAGGCGGGGACGACGUCAAGUCAUCAUGGCCCUUACGACCAGGGCUACACACGUGCUACAAUGGUCGGUACAAAGGGUUGCUACCUAGCGAUAGGAUGCUAAUCUCAAAAAGCCGAUCGUAGUCCGGAUUGGAGUCUGCAACUCGACUCCAUGAAGUCGGAAUCGCUAGUAAUCGCGGAUCAGAAUGCCGCGGUGGAUACGUUCCCGGGCCUUGUACACACCGCCCGUCACACCAUGGGAGUUUGUUGCACCAGAAGUAGGUAGUCUAACCGCAGGGAGGACGCUUACCACGGUGUGGCCGAUGACUGGGGGUGAAGUCGUAACAAGGUAACC